AUUGAACGCUGGCGGCAUGCCUUACACAUGCAAGUCGAACGGUAACAGGUCUUCGGAUGCUGACGAGUGGCGAACGGGUGAGUAAUACAUCGGAACGUGCCUAGUAGUGGGGGAUAACUACUCGAAAGAGUGGCUAAUACCGCAUGAGAUCUACGGAUGAAAGCAGGGGAUCGCAAGACCUUGUGCUACUAGAGCGGCCGAUGGCAGAUUAGGUAGUUGGUGGGAUAAAAGCUUACCAAGCCGACGAUCUGUAGCUGGUCUGAGAGGACGAUCAGCCACACUGGGACUGAGACACGGCCCAGACUCCUACGGGAGGCAGCAGUGGGGAAUUUUGGACAAUGGGCGAAAGCCUGAUCCAGCAAUGCCGCGUGCAGGAUGAAGGCCUUCGGGUUGUAAACUGCUUUUGUACGGAACGAAAAGCCCUGGGUUAAUACCCUGGGGUCGUGACGGUACCGUAAGAAUAAGCACCGGCUAACUACGUGCCAGCCGCCGCAGUAACAC
rnacentral:rRNA from 1 species